ACAUUUUUUACAAAAAUGUAUUCGUCUUUACAUUUCUUCUUAUCAUUUCUGUCUACAUACAUACAUGUAUUCUGUGCAGUUUUAAAUUUAAUCCUAAUGCAGUGUUAUAUGGCAAUGAUCCUGCAUGUGAGAGAGCCCCUAAUAGGCUUUCAUUUAUAUACAGUACAGGGCGAAAAAAGAUAAGUAGCUACUCUACUGUUGCGUAGGUACAGUUUAGAGAGAAAAAAAGCUAAGUAGCGCAGAGUAGUUCCUACGAACUGCACUUUUCUUCCUACACAGCUCAUGCGAAUCAAAACGGUAGUAGUAACGAGCAGCUUUGCUUUCUUUACUCCUGUGCUACUCUACUCUACUGAUGUGCUGCGCAUGCGCUACUCAAUACUGCGCAUGCGCAUUAAUUUUCACCAGCCCGGUUACAACUCAGUGGAAACGAGUAGAAAUGAGUCUUAGAAAGCUGAUAAAAGACACCCAGAAGAAGACAAAUUCUUCUUACUUUUUGAAAUACUUUAAGCAAGAGGAUACUUAUUCUAUUGUGAAAGCAAACUGUGUAGAAGUUGAGCAGCUGGAAGCUGGUACCUCCUGCAGAGUAAGGGAUGGAAAGGACUUUCAUGAUGGCACAAUAGUCACCUUUGGAGAUAAGAAAGUUGUAAGUAAUGCAGCAGGUGAUAUUGUUGAGAAGAUUGAGAAAGAGUCAGCGGAGAAUAUGGAGAAAGAGUCAGCCAAGAAUAUGGAGAAACAGUCAGCUGAGAGUAUGAAGAAUGAGUCAGACUACAAAGCGUGGCACAAUGAAAAGGAAAGCUAAGAAAAGUACCACCGAAUAAAGAAACCUAAAAUAGAAAAAGGAAAGGAAGAAAUGCACAGUUAAUAUUGUUGCUGUUGGUUGUGCUACAAAUAAUGAAUCUGCUGCAAAUAAUGAAGCAACAAGCUUCAACACUGGAGAUCCUUCUAAGCAUAUUAGUAUCGAAGCAAGAAAACCUUCAGAGAGAAAAGAGGCAGAUUCCAGUGAAAGAAUUCUUUGUCAUAGCCCUCCACCACUUCAGCCACC
rnacentral:misc_RNA from 1 species